GAUGAACGCUAGCUACAGGCUUAACACAUGCAAGUCGAGGGGCAGCAUGGUCUUAGCUUGCUAAGGCCGAUGGCGACCGGCGCACGGGUGAGUAACACGUAUCCAACCUGCCGUCUACUCUUGGACAGCCUUCUGAAAGGAAGAUUAAUACAAGAUGGCAUCAUGAGUUCACAUAUUCACAUGAUUAAAGGUAUUCCGGUAGACGAUGGGGAUGCGUUCCAUUAGAUAGUAGGCGGGGUAACGGCCCACCUAGUCUUCGAUGGAUAGGGGUUCUGAGAGGAAGGUCCCCCACAUUGGAACUGAGACACGGUCCAA
rnacentral:rRNA from 1 species